rnacentral:misc_RNA from 1 species
AACGCACAUUGCGCCUCUUGGUAUUCCAGGAGGCAUGCCUGUUCGAGCGUCAUUUCAACCCUCAAGCGUUGCUUGGUCUUGGGCCUUGCUCGCACCAGCAGGCUUCAAAGCUAGUGGCGGUACCCUGAGGGCCCUGAGCGUAGUUACAUCUCUCGCUACGGGUCCCUGAGGACCACUGCCAGUAAACCCCCUUUAUCAUUGCUAUGGUUGACCUCGGAUCAGGUAGGGAUACCCGCUGAACUUAA